GACGAACGCUGGCGGCGUGCUUAACACAUGCAAGUCGAACGGAAAGGCCCUGCUUUUGUGGGGUGCUCGAGUGGCGAACGGGUGAGUAACACGUGAGUAACCUGCCCUUGACUUUGGGAUAACUUCAGGAAACUAGGGCUAAUAACAGAUAGGAGCUCCUGCAGCAUGGUGGGGGUUGGAAAGUUUCGGCGGUUGGGGAUGGACUCGCGGCUUAUCAGCUUGUUGGUGGGGUAGUGGCUUACCAAGGCUUUGACGGGUAGACGGCCUGAGAGGGUGACCGGCCACAUUGGGACUGAGAUACGGCCCAGACUCCUACGGGAGGCAGCAGUGGGGAAUAUUGCACAAUGGGCGGAAGCCUGAUGCAGCAACGCCGCGUGCGGGAUGACGGUCUUCGGGUUGUAAACCGCUUUCGCCUGUGACGAAGCGUGAGUGACGGUAAUGGGUAAAGAAGCACCGGCUAACUACGUG
rnacentral:rRNA from 1 species